CUACGGGACGCUGCAGUGAGGAAUAUUGGUCAAUGGACGAGAGUCUGAACCAGCCAAGUAGCGUGAAGGAUGACUGCCCUAUGGGUUGUAAACUUCUUUUAUAAAGGAAUAAAGUGUGCCACGUGUGGCACUUUGUAUGUACUUUAUGAAUAAGGAUCGGCUAACUCCGUGCCAGCAGCCGCGGUAAUACGGAGGAUCCAAGCGUUAUCCGGAUUUAUUGGGUUUAAAGGGAGCGUAGAUGGAUUUUUAAGUCAGCUGUGAAAGUUUGAGGCUCAAACUUAAAAUUGCAGUUGAUACUGGAAGUCUUGAGUACAGUUGAGGUAUGCGGAAUUCGUGGUGUAGCGGUGAAAUGCUUAGAUAUCACGAAGAACUCCGAUUGCGAAGGCAGCAUACUAAGCUGUAACUGACAUUGAGGCUCGAAAGUGUGGGUAUCAAACAGGAUUAGAUACCCUCGUAGUC
rnacentral:rRNA from 1 species